AUGACCCCCCACCCCCAGCGCCGUCCGAAACUUCUUGUCUCUUCCUCCCCGCCCAGCACCUACCUGUUCCCCCCCAGCUCCCUGCCCGCUCCACACCGCCCCCCCGCGCCCCGUCCCGGAGCCUCCCAGCGCCCUGCCCCGGCUUGGAGCCUCCCUGUUCCCUCCACCACCACCUCCUCGCCCCCGUCGCGGCCCGGCCCCGCCCGGCGGGGCAGGCUCGGGGCAGGCGGGGCAGCCUGGCGGCGGCGCGCACCCCUCGCCCCGCGGCGGGCCUGGGCGCGCCAGGGCCUGUGGAGGCCGCUGGCAAAGCAGCGCCCGGGCAGGCCUGGGGCGAGCGGGGAGACUGCGGUCCGUGCGGCCUGGAGGGGGCUUCAGACACCCCCGGAGCGAGCCAGGGCGGGCGGGGCAAGCCGGCCCCCGGCCUGCAUCUCUGCUCUCCGGCCUGGUCCUAGAGGGCUUGGCCCACACAGGGUAUCCUGGGGUCCCUGCACGCCCCGCGCGCAGGAGGGGUGCCGCGGCCGGGUUCUGAGGCAGGACCCACUCCCGAGCACAAAGGACAUUCACCGUCUUCUCUUUUAUUUGCACAAUAGCCCUGUGAGGUCGGUACUGCUAUUGUUCCCAUUCGCCAGAUGCGAAAAUCGAGGCACAGCUGGGAUUCGCACCGAAGCCCCAGACGCCGCCCCCCGACUCAAUAGGGGUUUGCACAGAAACAGGCUGUCGUUCGUGACCUUGGGGUGCGUCACCGAGCCGCAGGCCCUCAUCUGUCUGGCAGCGCAGGGCCUGCCCCCUAAGGUAAUGAGGAUCCCUGGGCACAUGCCGGCACCCAGAGGCAAGGCGUCCGGGCGCCCCAGGCCCCCUCCCGGAACGCCCCCUCCCCCCGCGGAGCCGUCCCGCGCCGGCCCUGCCCCGCCCGCUCCCCGGGGAAAUGGCGAGCCCCAGGGGCGCAGAGACUGGGAGGGGGCUGAGGGGAGACGGGCGCCGCCAGGGCCGCUCUGGGGGUACAGGGUGGGGGCCCCGCCAGAACCCCGGGCGCCCUGCCCCUCCCGAAUCCAGCUCUCCGCGCCACGGCCGCAUGGGCCGAAGUGGCCAGGGCAGGGAAAGCCCAGCGCGCUGCCGCUCGUGCCUGGAACUCCAGGGCGGCCGCGUCGGGGCGACCCCACCGCCCUGGGCCUGCGCCAGCGAGCAGCGGACGUGGGCCAGGCUGGCGGACCGGGCGGGCGCACGACCCCCUCCGGCACAGGGCUACCCUCUGGGCAGCGGCCCUCUCACCCCACAGCCACCGACAACUGCCUCGGGGCCCUGCGUCUGAAUUCCAGCAGCUGGGGCACAUUACCAAUUGGCCUGUGCCUCAGUUUCCUCAUCUGUGAAAAGGGCAUUACUUGCAUCAUACGAUAA
rnacentral:lncRNA from 1 species